rnacentral:rRNA from 1 species
CCCUUAGAUGUUCUGGGCCGCACGCGCGCUACAAUGAUGAAUUCAACGAGUUUAUAACCUUGGUUGAAAAGCCUGGGUAAUCUUUUGAACUUUCGUCGUGAUGGGGCUAGACCCUUGCAAUUAUUGGUCUCCAACGAGGAAUUCCUAGUAAACGCAAGUCAUCAGCUUGCAUUGAUUACGUCCCUGCCCUUUGUACACACCGCCCGUCGCUCCUACCGAUUGAGUGGUCCGGUGAGGCUUUGGGAUCUGAGCGGAAAGAGCGUUUCGCUGUUUCUGCUCGGAAAACUCAGUCGAACCUUAUCAUUUAGAGGAAGGAGAAGUCGUAACA